rnacentral:misc_RNA from 1 species
UUAGUUCUUCCUUUUCUUCUUAAUGAUCAAAUUCCAUUACGUGUUUCCAGAUCCCUAUUACGAAAAUUGAUUUCACCACUCACGAGUAUGCGCAGCGAAGGAAUGAAACUUUCACAGCAGGCAUGUGCUUUUUUCUUGGUUUUACUAGUGAGCAGCAAGUAUUGGGAAUUCUUUUUGGUUUCCUUGCUCUUAUGUUUCUCUCGGAAUUUAUUACAGCAAA